UAGGGAAUCUUCCGCAAUGGGCGAAAGCCUGACGGAGCAACGCCGCGUGAGUGAUGAAGGUCUUCGGAUCGUAAAACUCUGUUAUUAGGGAAGAACAAAUGUGUAAGUAACUAUGCACGUCUUGACGGUACCUAAUCAGAAAGCCACGGCUAACUACGUGCCAGCAGCCGCGGUAAUACGUAGGUGGCAAGCGUUAUCCGGAAUUAUUGGGCGUAAAGCGCGCGUAGGCGGUUUUUUAAGUCUGAUGUGAAAGCCCACGGCUCAACCGUGGAGGGUCAUUGGAAACUGGAAAACUUAAGUGCAGAAGAGGAAAGUGGAAUUCCAUGUGUAGCAGUGAAAUGCGCAGAGAUAUGGAGGAACACCAGUGGCGAGGGCGACUUUCUGGUCUGUAACUGACGCUGAUGUGCGAAAGCGUGGGGAUCAAACAGG
rnacentral:rRNA from 1 species